rnacentral:rRNA from 1 species
GAUGAACGCUGGCGGCGUGCCUAAUACAUGCAAGUCGAGCGAAUGGAUUAAGAGCUUGCUCUUAUGAAGUUAGCGGCGGACGGGUGAGUAACACGUGGGUAACCUGCCCAUAAGACUGGGAUAACUCCGGGAAACCGGGGCUAAUACCGGAUAACAUUUUGAACCGCAUGGUUCGAAAUUGAAAGGCGGCUUCGGCUGUCACUUAUGGAUGGACCCGCGUCGCAUUAGCUAGUUGGUGAGGUAACGGCUCACCAAGGCAACGAUGCGUAGCCGACCUGAGAGGGUGAUCGGCCACACUGGGACUGAGACACGGCCCAGACUCCUACGGGAGGCAGAAGUAGGGAAUCUUCCGCAAUGGGCGAAAGUCUGACGGAGCAACGCCGCGUGAGUGAUGAAGGCUUUCGGGUCGUAAAACUCUGUUGUUAGGGAAGAACAAGUGCUAGUUGAAUAAGCUGGCACCUUGACGGUACCUAACCAGAAAGCCACGGCUAACUACGUGCCAGCCGCCGCGGUAA